AGCGUCCUGGAACGCUGGAACUAGAGCUGAUACAGGUUGAUCGAGCAAUUCGUUCGUCCUUAAAUGAUUUGCUUGUUCUACAAGUAGCGAACUUUAUUGACCGCAGACAUGUUCGCUGUUGCUAUGGGUGAAUUAAGCGUCGACCGACAACGCAUUUUCUAUUACGGUGUUAUGCCCCAUGUCCGAUACUGAGCGUAUGAACAUGUUACCAUGCCAUCGUCAAGAGCAUCAAGGCAGUCACGUUACGCUAAACGGUCCGCCCUGGUGGGUCCAUCGGGUAGGCGCGGUAUUUGAACCAGUCGAUCGUGAACCUCUUCGCUGUAUCUAACUAUGCAAUGUUGUAUAUGACGAUACGCUUACGGCUGCGUACGAAUCUAGACCAGCACUGAUGGCGCGGUAGUCACUGCACGAAUAUAUUAUAGACUGUGGAUGGGGUGAAUUCUUGACUACGUUUGGGAGGCCCCCGAGCGCCAAGCGUCAGACGCACAGGCACACUGCUUAACUGCUCCAUACAAGUAGCACGAGUUUUGUUGUCGUCCUAACCAUCUCGUGGGCUGUAGUGCUUCACUUCUGCUGCUGCCGCGUUCAUUUUGCAUAGAACCAAUAACGAACGACAUUCGCUUGAUGUGUAUACAUCGGCAAUAUGUACGUGCGAUGGGGCAUUCUAUAUGUGGCCGGGACUACGUAGCGUAAUGUCAUGUACAUGUACGGAGUCAAAGGAGAUAGGUAACCUGUGGCAUUUGUGGCGCCUGUGGGCACUGCCCCGUAGUGGAUAGUCAUGGGGCCGAACAGAAUAAUAGAUCUUCUGUUGCUACGAUUGCGAGUUGCCGUCAGCUGCUGAGAGCAGCACAUGCACAGACAAUGUUACUGCCUACGAUAACGAUGGUCAUGGCGACGAGCGGGCCGAGAAAAAUAGCAGGAAAAAAAUGCAUCGUUCACCUUAAAUAACAGCAGCUCGAACCGCGAAUGCUAGACGAUUGCCGUUGGAAUAAUGAAGCACGGACCUACUUCGAAUUACAGGCGUGUUACAGUUUGCAAAAGUCAUCUAUACCAUCGAGCUGAGGCAACAAUGACCGACGACGACGGGCAAAGAAGCGAAGUAAUCCGACUAGCAGCAACGAUCGGCCUCGACAAUAGCUACCAGCAACAACGGUAGCAAUAACCACAGAUAGGCGAAAAAAACGCAAAUGGCUUGCCGUAUCUAAUAGCAGCUACUGAAAAACAGUGAACCACCAAAUAAACGGACGUAUAAAAAAAAGCAGUGAGAUGAGACUCACAGACUGACGGCCAGGGCCUUCCCGCCAACUAUCUUCUCCUGCCAACUUACGUACCUUGUAUAUAAUUCAGACAAGCCUUAGGGUACGCAGCGACCUAAACGUAAUGCAGCGGCGACAAUUUGAUCGUAGCCGCAACAAAAUUGUCAAUAAUAUAGAAUAUAACGAUCGUGAUGAUUAUGAUCAUAAUACCAAACAGCGCUGUAGGGAUAACAGCGACGCCAAGCUAACUUGUGCCAUAAGUUAAAUAAGCGCUUUGCAACUUAAAUUACGAGUAGGAAGUUUGGUUGGCAGAAACUCUGCUUGAAACGAGACCAUUUUAACGCGCGAUCUAUCUACUCUACUUAGACAGUUCACUUUUAUGUGUAUAAGAUUGUGUCCUUGCUGAGCUAAUGAAGCUCGCGUUA